rnacentral:snRNA from 1 species
CUCGCUUCUCGGCCUUUUGGCUAAGAUCAAGUGUAGUAUCUGUGUGUGUGUGUGUGUGUGUAAGUAAUCUGUGGCUCAGCUACAACUCCCA